rnacentral:rRNA from 1 species
CGCCAGACUCCUACGGGAGGCAGCAGUGGGGGAUAUUGCACAAUGGGGGGAACCCUGAUGCAGCGACGCCGCGUGAGUGAAGAAGUAUUUCGGUAUGUAAAGCUCUAUCAGCAGGGAAGAAAAUGACGGUACCUGACUAAGAAGCCCCGGCUAACUACGUGCCAGCAGCCGCGGUAAUACGUAGGGGGCAAGCGUUAUCCGGAUUUACUGGGUGUAAAGGGAGCGUAGACGGCAUGGCAAGUCAGAUGUGAAAGCCCGGGGCUCAACCCCGGGACUGCAUUUGAAACUGUCAGGCUGGAGUGCAGGAGAGGCAGGCGGAAUUCCUGGUGUAGCGGUGAAAUGCGUAGAUAUCAGGAGGAACACCGGUGGCGAAGGCGGCCUGCUGGACUGCAACUGACGUUGAGGCCCGAAAGCGUGGGGAGCAAACAGGAUUAGAUACCCGCGUA